rnacentral:tRNA from 1 species
GGGCCCAUAGCUCAACGGCAGAGCACGCGACUCAUAAUCGUUAGGUUGCAGGUUCGAGUCCUGCUGGGCCCA